rnacentral:rRNA from 1 species
AGAACGAACGCUGGCGGCAGGCUUAACACAUGCAAGUCGAACGCGUGUAGCAAUACACGAGUGGCGCACGGGUGAGUAACGCGUGGAUAUCUGCCUUUUGGUUCGGAAUAACCCCGGGAAACUGGGGCUAAUACCGGAUGGUUCCUACGGGAUAAAGAUUUAUCGCCAAAAGAUGAGUCCGCGUCCGAUUAGCUAGUUGGUGGGGUAAUGGCCUACCAAGGCGACGAUCAGUAGCUGGUCUGAGAGGACGAUCAGCCACACUGGGACUGAGACACGGCCCAGACUCCUACGGGAGGCAGCAGUGGGGAAUAUUGGACAAUGGGGGCAACCCUGAUCCAGCCAUGCCGCGUGAGUGAUGAAGGCCUUCGGGUUGUAAAGCUCUUUUGGCGGGGACGAUGAUGACGGUACCCGCAGAAUAAGCCCCGGCUAACUUCGUGCCAGCAGCCGC